rnacentral:rRNA from 1 species
GAUGAACGCUGGCGGCGUGCUUAACACAUGCAAGUCGAACGAACAGGCCCAGCUUUUGGGGUGGUCUCGUGGGGAGCGGGUGAGUGAAACACGAGUGUACAACCCACCUAUCUGGGGGAUAACUGGACGAAAAGGUGUAUAAUAGCCUAGAGGAGUUCAUGGAGCGCUGGGUGGUGGAGAGAUUUACGGCUGUUGGGGAUAGUCUCGCGGCUUAUGCGCUUGUUUGGGAGGUUGGUGCUUACCAGGGCUGUGACGGGUAGCCGGCCUGAGAGGGUGACCGGCCACACGGGGACUGAGAGACGGCCCAGACUCCUACGGGAGGCAGCAGUGGGGAAUAUUGCACAAUGGGCGGAAGCCUGAUGCAGCGACGCCGCGUGAGGGAUGACGGCCUUCGGGUUGUAAACCGCUUUCGCUAGUGAAGAAGCGAGAGUGACGGUACCUGCUGAAGAAGCACCGGCUAACUACGUG